rnacentral:pre_miRNA from 1 species
UGUACCUACACGUCACAACAGCAACCCUAACAAAAGCAUUGACUGGUUUUGUCUGCAGUAAGUGCUUUUUGUUGGGGUAGCUGUUAAUG